GGGCCCGGCCUUAAAACAUGCAAAGUCGUACGCUGGAAGACACUGUGAUGCUUGCACUGGGUGGAUGAGUGGCGAACGGGUGAGUAAUACGUGAGUAACCUGCCCUUGACUCUGGGAUAAGCCUGGGAAACUGGGUCUAAUACUGGAUACGACGGCGCAUCGCAUGGUGUGUUGUGGAAAGGGUUUUACUGGUUUUGGAUGGGCUCACGGCCUAUCAGCUUGUUGGUGGGGUAAUGGCUCACCAAGGCGACGACGGGUAGCCGGCCUGAGAGGGUGACCGGCCACACUGGGACUGAGACACGGCCCAGACUCCUACGGGAGGCAGCAGUGGGGAAUAUUGCACAAUGGGCGGAAGCCUGAUGCAGCGACGCCGCGUGAGGGAUGACGGCCUUCGGGUUGUAAACCUCUUUCAGCACGGAAGAAGCGAGAGUGACGGUACGUGCAGAAGAAGCGCCGGCUAACUACGUGCCAGCAGCCGCGGUAAUACGUAGGGCGCAAGCGUUGUCCGGAAUUAUUGGGCGUAAAGAGCUCGUAGGCGGUUUGUCGCGUCUGCUGUGAAAGCCCGGGGCUUAACCCCGGGUGUGCAGUGGGUACGGGCAGACUUGAGUGCAGUAGGGGAGACUGGAAUUCCUGGUGUAGCGGUGAAAUGCGCAGAUAUCAGGAGGAACACCGAUGGCGAAGGCAGGUCUCUGGGCUGUUACUGACGCUGAGGAGCGAAAAGCA
rnacentral:rRNA from 1 species